UGACUUAGUAUCUAUGGUUCAGUGAUUUAUUACUUUUGAAUUCAUUUGGUUUUAUGAAUGUAAUAAAGGAUUUAUGAUUUUUACAAAAUGAAAAUGAUUUUCUAACCCUCGUGAUAGCUAGUUUUAAAAGGAAAUGGUUUCCGUGUGGGAAACGAUUUUUAAAAAAAUUUUCUGAUUUUUUCUGGAUAUUAGUAUUUCAAAACGAGUUUCCGGAUAGGAAACAUUUUGAACUUAUAGAUGUGGAUUUAUAAAGAUUUGUGAUGAAAUAACUGUGGAUGUGAAUCGUGAAUGAAUGUGGAUGUUCAUAUGUAUGGUUGUAUCUUAUCGUGUAUCUUGUACUUGUGCGACG
rnacentral:lncRNA from 1 species